AUUGAACGCUGGCGGCAGGCCUAACACAUGCAAGUCGAGCGGAUGAAGGGAGCUUGCUCCUGGAUUCAGCGGCGGACGGGUGAGUAAUGCCUAGGAAUCUGCCUGGUAGUGGGGGAUAACGUCCGGAAACGGGCGCUAAUACCGCAUACGUCCUGAGGGAGAAAGUGGGGGAUCUUCGGACCUCACGCUAUCAGAUGAGCCUAGGUCGGAUUAGCUAGUUGGUGGGGUAAAGGCCUACCAAGGCGACGAUCCGUAACUGGUCUGAGAGGAUGAUCAGUCACACUGGAAGUGAGACAGGGUCCAGACUCCUACGGGAGGCAGCAGUGGGGAAUAUUGGACGAGGGGCGAAAGCGUGAUCCAGCAAUGCCGGGUGUGUGAAGAAGGUCUUCGGAUGGGAAAGCACUUUAAGUUGGGAGGAAGGGAAGUAAGUUAAUACCUUGCUGUUUUGACGUUACCAACAGAAUAAGCACCGGCUAACUUCGUG
rnacentral:rRNA from 1 species